rnacentral:lncRNA from 1 species
GGAAGUGCUGGCCAAGAGCGGAGCCUCCAGGAGCACCGCGAGUCCCUCUGGUUGCACUUGGUGUCCCCCCGCCCCAGCAAUAAGAUGGGGUGACAAUGAGGUGCCAGUGGCCCAUCCCCACGGCCUUUGUGCCAACCAUCUGGCGGGGUGCCAGGCUAUCUGAGAAAGGCCGAACCCCACAAAGAUUGAUCCUAGUCCAAAGUCCCUCCCCAAAGUCUACAAGAAAGGCAGGCUCCAACGGCGAGGGUUGCAGGUGCCCAGAUCCCACCAUGCGGCUCCUGGCCCCCCUUGCCCUCUGCCUGGGGCUCUGGGCAGGGCUUGACGCUGCUGUCAUCCCAGGUAGGGACUGGGAUGGGGACAGGGAUGGGGACGGGGACAGGGAUGGGGACAGGCAGCUGGCUGGUGUCCCGGGAUGUGUGGUGCCAUCCUGGCUGCCCUGGUGCUGGCCAAAGUGCAGGGCUUGUGGAGGGGAGCUGGGAGGGUUAGCAGGGGUUCUCUUUGCUUUUUGGGGGACCUUGAGCUGGUUUCCCCCCAUGGGGUUAGGGUCCUGCUGGUUUUGGGCCGAGGAGGGGCUGUGUGAGGUGCCUGUAGCCCCUUUUACCCCUGCGUAUUUGUCCCCAUCCCACUUGGCAGCCGGUUCCUCCCAUUGCAUCCCUUUUUCUUGCCACCUCGCCGCCUUCCUGGGUGGGUGCAGUCUGCGUGGGCUCCCCCCACCCUUACCAGCACCCCGACCCAUGGGAUUCGUGCACCCUCUCCUCCGUGGGGGUCUUUCUAUGGGUGGGAACCCAGCAGAGACCCCAGCACGGGGACGCCCAGGACUGGCUGCCCCGGGGCUGACGGGUGCUGCCCCCUCCCAGUCGAGGAGGAGAACCCAUCCUUCUGGAACGAUCAGGCAGCCGCGGCCAUCGAGGCCAGCUUCAAGAUCCAGCCCAGGACAAACGAAGCCAAAAACCUCAUCAUCUUCCUCGGGGAUGGUUUCGGGGUCCCCAGCAUCACAGCCGCCCGGAUCCUAAACGGGCAGUUGCAGGGGAAAUCGGGUCCUGAGACCCCCCUUUUCCUGGAUUCUUUCCCCUACACGGCUCUCUCCAAGGUAAGUCCCGUGGGUGCGGAGCGUGGGGCCACGGUGAUGCCCACGGGGG